UCCAGUCCUCUCUCAGCCCCCUACUGCCCGAAAUCCAGCAGCGACCGCCGGCGCAUCUCACCCCGGGCCGAGACCGACGAAUCCCCAAGGAAGCCGGAGAUGCAGCAGGGCGAUGGCACGGAGGCGCAGGUGACGUGGGACGACCAGCAGAACAUCAACCGGUUCGGCCGCCUCAACAACCGCCUCCACGAGCUCGCGGACGAGAUCAGGCUCGCCAAGGAAGCAAACGAAAACCUUGAAGAUGCUGGGAAUGAACUCAUCUUGUCUGAUGAAGAUGUGGUGCGUUUCCAAAUUGGGGAAGUGUUUGCCCACAUGCCAGUGGAUGAUGUGGAAGCUAAGCUAGAGCAGAUGAAAGAGGAUGCAGCCAAGAAGCUGGAGAGGCUGGAGGAAGAGAAGGAAUCCAUCCUCACACAUAUGGCCGAGCUGAAGGAGAUCCUCUACGGGAAAUUUGGAAAGGCCAUCAACCUGGAGGAAGAUUGA
rnacentral:rRNA from 1 species